rnacentral:tRNA from 1 species
GGAGAGGUGUCUGAGUGGUUUAAAGUCCUGGUCUUGAAAACCAGUGCAAUGAAAAUUGCCGAGGGUUCGAAUCCCUCCUUCUCCU